rnacentral:rRNA from 1 species
CAGCAGCCGCGGUAAUACCGGCGGCCCGAGUGGCGGUCACUCUUAUUGGGCUUAAAGCGUCCGUAGCCGGGUUGGGAAGUCCUCCGGGAAAUCUGGCCGCUUAACGGUCAGAAUGCCGGAGGAUACUCCCAGCCUAGGGGGCGGGAGAGGCCGAGGGGAUUCCCGGGGUAGGGGUGAAAUCCUAUAAUCCCGGGAGGACCACCUGUGGCGAAGGCGCUCGGCUGGAACGCGUCCGACGGUGAGGGACGAAGGCCAGGGGAGCAAACCGGAUUAGAUACCCGGGUAGUCCUGGCGGUAAACGAUGCGGACUUUGUGUCGGACAAGCUAUGAGCUUGUCCGGUGCCGGAGGGAAACCGUUAAGUCCGCCGCCUGGGGAGUACGGCCGCAAGGCUGAAACUUAAAGGAAUUGGCGGG